UUUUGUUCUCUUUCCUUCGUUAGUAGUAGUAUAGGGUUUCUGAUCGAUGUUGUGUUUGUGUGAUAUUUUUCUAAUAAAACCCGACGGGCCUCUGAUGUUUGUUUCCAACUCGAUCUCGACACCUCUCGUUCCGACUAGUGAAAUCUUCUUCUUCUAGGGUUUGCCGUUUGGGGUUUCCGUUAAUCGCAUCAGUUUAUUCAAUCUAUGUUAGAUCCGAUCCGAUCCGAUCCGAUCAUCACCGAUCGUUCUAGGGUUUGUGGAGGAGGGUCCUACGAUUGACCGGUGAUGGCAUCUACGAUGAGGGUGAUGUCUCAAGGGGACAAAGGACACGCUUCGCUUCUUCUAACGUCUUCAAGGGUUAUGGUUGAUGCUUUUAUCGAUGAGGGUGAUGUCUCAAGGAGACAAGGAUACGUUUCGCUUCUUCUCUGUGCUAACACGUCUUCAAGGGUGUUUAGGAAGCUAACUAUGAUCGGAUCAUUGCAUACUCUUCUCCUGGAUCGUACAUGAUGAGCAGCUGGUGAAAUUGUGAUGGCUGGAGAAGAAGAGCCGAGAUGUUUCUUGGCGGUUUUGCUAACAGAGCAGAGAAAGGCAAAAGAGUUGUGUUGUCUUCCUAAGGCUUUCAGACUGAUGUGAAAAUGUUGCAGAAGGUUUUCAGAUGCAGACACACAUGGUGAAGUAUCCUUUGUUCUUUUGAUCAAAUAUCUUUCUUCCUUUGCAAAUAUCAGAUAUAUGUUUUUAAAAAAGAUAUCAAAGACUUCUUCUUCUCUCCAAUGGGAGGUGUGUAAUGGGCUUGCUCUGUUAUAUCAGAUUGUGGAGGAGGAUGCUGCUAUAUAUAUAUAUGAUCGGUGAUUGUUUUGGAUGGAUCAUUUUGUCUGCUAUGCACUACAGAUUCAGGUUCGGUUGCAGUUGAUGAUAUUCUUUAGUGACAAUGGCAUCUAGGCUAUUGGAUUAGAUAUACGAGGGAGUUGUUGAAUACAUACGGCGGUGCUCAAAAGGUCUAGUUCUGGUGAAAACUGUUCUCGCAAUAUUGCUCACAGUGGGAUUGUUUUGUAAUGAAGAUGUUCACGAAACAGAGGAAAGCCCAAUAACAACAGUUUCAGCCCGAUAACAACAGUUUCAGCCCAAUAAACAAUGGCUACCUACGAAAGCCCUAGUAUUUUUUUAAUGGUGUUUCUUUUUUUUCUUUGUAGCUACGAAGAAGAAGAAGAAGAAGAGGAGAGAUAGAGUGGAGUGGAGAUGAUUCGUAAUCGUACGGAGUUAGAAGAGCCCUUAGAGAGGCGAGGGGAUCAUCAUGGCGUCUCUCCGGCGAGGGGAUCAUCAUCUCAUCGGAGAUUUGGGUGUGGUGGAUUCGCUUUUUCCCGGCAACGGUGUUGUGUAGUUGAGUGUAUCACUGUAGAACCUGGAUUCAUUCUCAGCGAGGCUUCAAUCAUCAAUUUUACAGGUUGGUGUGCAGGGACUGAUGUUAAAACCUGCAGAUCUAGGUAAAGCAGGGCCUAAACAAAAAAGAAGCUAAAAAAGAGUUCUGUAGAUGCUGUUAUCAUGGAUACUGCAGGAAGGCUUCAGAUAGAUAAAGGGCAUGAUGGACAGACUAAAAGACAGUAAGGAAGUUUAAGUGUUACAAGUUGUUGAUGCCAAUGACUACCUGGACAAGAAGCUUAUGCAGAGAAAACGCAGAACUGCAGGGAGGCUUCGCUUCAGAUAUAUGGUGAACUGACACCUUCAAGCGAAGCAGAUCUAGAGGGAGACAAGCUUGAGAUUAUGAUACUUAAGGUUGACGGCAUCAAGACUGAACUCAUGGAAUUGAGGAAAAGCUCUUUUCGUGCAUUAAUUAGCCAACCAUGUCCUUCUGCGAAAGAGAUUAGUGCAAAGGACAUUGGUGAAAAAGAUGCUGAUGAGGCUACCAAAUCUGUGAAGGCUGCAAAGAAAACAAGGACAAAGAAAGCCAAGGAACCGGCCAAAGAAGAAACUGGAGGUUCUUCUAGCGCGCCCAAAGUUGAGCCUGGUGUUGUUGUCAGUGAUCCUCAGGAGAACGUGGACAAAGUUGAAAAGAAGUCAAGCAAGAAAUCAAAGAAGAAACCAUCUUCCAACGUUGUGGAGGAGGCUUGAGUGUCGUCAUCUCUAAUUAAACAAAAAAAAUUGCCCUGCUAUAAUUGUAGCGAUAAUUGUAGCACAGUAGCAGAGCAAUUUUUUUUGUUUAAUUAGAGAUGACAACACUCAAGCCUCCUCCACAACGACAAUAUCUAUGAUAUAGUUAAUCAUCUGGAGAGUAUUGGGUUUUAACAAGAAAAGCCAAGAAUCAGUCGACGUGGAAAGGUUUUGCACGCAGCUUUGAAGGUGCUUCAAGUUGAUUGAAGAAUUUAGAAGACUUAAGCAGACUGCUUAAGACAUCUUCAGUGAUCCUAAUGGAAGAAUUCUGAGUUACGUAGGCUCCCAUCAUCUGCUUCAUGGCAACAUUUCAAGGGUCAUAUGCGGAGAGCUGGUGAUGUGUACUUUGCUGAGGUCACUCGAGACUGUGACGGUUACGUUAAUUUUCACUUUCUCAUGCAUACUUUCUUAGCUAUACCAAAAUCAUCCUUUUUUAGCUUUGAGCAGUGUUUUGUUUGGCACAUUAUACUUGUUUCUUGACUAUUUUUAAUCAUAUGAUCAGGAACUUAUGGUAUCGUCCACUACACCAAUUAUGAUGACAUGAAGCAUGUGUUUAGUUAACUCUAUUCUUCUCUCUUGCUUCUUUUUACUUGGAUUUUGAGAAUUACUAAGUUACUUAUACAGAGACAGCUUCAGUGAUCUUAGUGGAAGUUACAAGUUAUCCUGGAAUUAUGGACUCCUCUCUUAUCAUUAGCACUUAUUCAGGCUUUGGGCUGUGGCUGUUUAAUUCAGACUUGGAAAUUAACAAUGGUUCUUCCAGUUCUGUAUAUGUGCAGAUCGGAGAUGGUUUGAAGAAAUGAAGAAGAUUCUAUAGGAAGCUGGUGAUGUUCGUGAAUCUCCCAUCAUCUCCUCCAUAACAUUUGAAGGAUCAUUUGUGGAGAGCUGGUGAUGUCUUCUUUAAUCUGCUGAGGUCACUCGAGACAGGCUUCUUACACAACGAUGGUCAAAUCCUAUUCUGUAGAUUGGAUUGGGGUUUGUUUCCAGAGAGACGACGACAAUAUUGGGUUUUAGUAUACGUGGAAAGGUCUUACCUGCAGCUUUGAAGGAGCUACAAAUCAGAGAGAUGGAUUGAAGAAUGAAGUAGAAGACUCAAGUCUGCUUUAGGAACCCAUGGUGUCGUUAACAACACCAGUUAUGAUGACAUGAAGUAUGCUUUGUUUGCUCUUGUGUGCAGAGGCUCAUCCAUUGGACUCACAUACAUCAUUUGUGUGAUUUCGUUCUCUUGUGCACACUGUCCGUUUUAACAAUGAGAAAUGCCCUAGACCAAUGUGCUAUACAAGGUCUACGGAAGUGAAAAGGAAGACACCCCAAAUUGUGAUGUCCCCGAAUUUGAGAUUCUAUAGGAAGCUCGUGAUGUGUGCUUCAUGGCAAGAUUUGAAGGAUCAUAUGCGGGGAGAUGGUGAUGUGUGCUUUGCUGAGGCCACUCGAGACACUAACAUCUAGACUGGUUCUUGUUGCCAUCUAGGCUCUACCAUUACAUAGGUUUUCUUAAAAAGCUUGAAGCUAAGUUUAAGAUCGAAGAUAUGCUUAUGGGUUUGAAGAAUGAAGAAGAUUCAGUACCAAAAAGGAUCUUACUGUUUUUGUUUGCAACGGGACCUGUGAUAGCAUAUCACACGAAGACGCAUACACAAGUUGCGUCUCUUCUGAGUUUGCGCCGUUAAAUAAUAUUGGUGUAGCUACGUAACAUGAGGAAUGGUUCCAUGUUCAAGGUUUUCUCAUUAGCUAGAUCUUGAUGGAGGAAUCCAUUCUUGUGCACAAGGCUCUAUAGCAUAAUGCAAUGGUCAAUGAGCUUAUUUUGCUCUGUUAAGCAAUGGUAAGUCAUAAUUGGGCCAUUUAUUUCCUCUUGAUACCUUCAGUCACGAUAUCUCAGAGACUUGUGUAGUUGUUAGAUUAUAAAAGUUGAGUACUACUGGUCAGUUCAUGGAGCACGAUACUAUUGCAGGUCGUACAUGGCUAUAAUGGCCAAACUGAUAUCGGUAUAUCUACAUAACAUGCGGAGUGGUUCAAGGUUUUCACAUUUGCCAAAUCUUGAUUGAGUUCAUGUUCUCUCUUUGGCUCUGUUUUUGCAAGAUUGUUUACAAAGGUACCUGAUAGCACAUCGCAUAGAGACGCUGUAGUUUUGUUCUUUAAAAAUAGGGUUCUUCCGCGUUCUGACUGUUUGAAAACGCGAGAAUGCGUUAAACUUGGGCUAACUUGGGCUACGAUAACAGUGUGUUGAACUUUCCGGUUUUGUUGAACUUGGGCUACGAUAACAAUGUCUUGCAUGGCUGUAACUGUAAUGACCAAACUGAUAUCGGUGUAUUAGACGUAAUUGUAACAUGCUGCUGAAUGGUUAAGUGAUUUCUCGUCGGCCAGGAACAUGAUUAGGUGCAUUUUCAUUGGAAGUGGAAAGCUGUUGGGAAAUUUUGUUCCUAGGCCUAGCUGCUCAAGAAAGUGUUUUGGUAAAUGUUGAUACUGAUCAGAUUGACUUCAAAAAAUAUUGGGGAAGCUUCAAGAUUUGUUGGUAAGCAGGUCAAUGUACUGCUGCGUGUUGAUCCUCAGCUUUUAGGUGCAUCCAUAUGUAGCUGGUUAGCUAUCUACUGGGAACAAGAACUCAAAGUUUGGCAUCAACAACGAGAAACUAUAAUGGUUUCUGGAUGAGGGAGGUGAAGGUACAUCCCAAAGUAUUGAAGCUUGAUGGAGCUCCUUGCCAUCUAAGCUCUGACAUUACAAAGAGAAGUCUCCAAUGUUCUCGCUCGCCGCGGAAAACAUGUCUUCCGGCGGAACCAGGUCUCACGUGGAUGAUCCUUACUAUGCCGAGAUAUACCGUAUACGCCAGUAAGUUGUUUGGAUAUAUAUAUAUAUAUAUAUAUAUAUAUAGUUGCUGAGGCGUAUGGAUAUGCUAGAGAUCAUAAGAUGUUAGUGGACAUUCUUCUGUGGGCAGUGGACAGUCAUGAACGUACUCUCAAAGAACUUGAAAGCAGAGUUUACGGGUCAGUGUUGUUCUAGGUUUGCAUGUGAAAGGUUACAAUGUUGUCUUAGCAGAGCCUGCAUAAAAAUGGAUGCCUUUUACUGAAAGCUCAGCAUGGCUUUGGGAUAGGCUUUGUGAAACCCUAUCAGAUGGGUUAAAAACUUUGCAACUUGCAGUAAAAAAUGAUUUGGAAUUAGUGAUUUUUAAAAAAUGUUUGUAUAAUAAACCCCACAUAAUCCACAAACUACAUGCAUGCGGUGAGUAUUGAGUAUGGUCAUUGAAGAUAAAGAGGAUUUCUUCUUUUGCUCUGCACUUGAAGCAACGCCAAUGAUUAUUCUUUGUGUAAAUCAUCUUUAAUCUUAUUUGUAUGUUGUUAAACUGUAACGAAUACUCGACGAGAAUGGUAUAAAUUUCCUUUCAGUGUCU